rnacentral:rRNA from 1 species
AUGGGGACCUGUAUGAAUGGCAUAACGAGGGUUUAACUGUCUCCUUUCCCAAGUUAAUGAAAUUGAUCUCCCCGUGCAGAAGCGGGGAUAAAAACGUAAGACGAGAAGACCCUAUGGAGCUUUAGGCAACAAGCAGAUCACACCCAAACAACCCUAAUAAAGGAAAAAACGCACUGAACCCUGCCCUAAUGCC